rnacentral:rRNA from 1 species
GACGAACGCUGGCGGCGUGCGUAACACAUGCAAGUCGAGCGGAACAAGAGAGCUUGCUCUUUUGUUUAGCGGCGGACGGGUGAGUAACACGUGGGCAACCUGCCCUGUACAGGGGGAUAGGCACUCGAAAGGGUGAUUAAUACCGCAUAAAAAGACAUAUUCGCAUGGGUAUGUCUUCAAAGGAGAGAUCCGGUACAGGAUGGGCCCGCGACCCAUUAGUUAGUUGGAGAGGUAACGGCUCACCAAGACAGCGAUGGGUAGCCGAUCUAAGAGGAUGAGCGGCCACAUUGGAACUGAGAGACGGUCCAGACUCCUACGGGAGGCAGCAGUGGGGAAUAUUGCGCAAUGGGGGGAACCCUGACGCAGCAACGCCGCGUGAGUGAAGAAGGCCUUCGGGUCGUAAAGCUCUGUCAUAGCCGACGAAGAAUGACUGUAAGCUAUGAGGAAGCCACGGCUAACUAC